AUUGAACGCUGGCGGCAUGCCUUACACAUGCAAGUCGAACGGCAGCGCGGGAGCAAUCCUGGCGGCGAGUGGCGAACGGGUGAGUAAUAUAUCGGAACGUGCCCUAGAGUGGGGGAUAACUAGUCGAAAGAUUAGCUAAUACCGCAUACGAUCUACGGAUGAAAGUGGGGGAUCGCAAGACCUCAUGCUCGUGGAGCGGCCGAUAGCUGAUUAGCAAGUUGGUAGGGUAAAAGCCGACCAAGGCCACGAUCAUGAGCUGGUCUGAGAGGACGACCAGCCACACUAGGACUGAGACACGGCCCAGGCUCCUACGGGAGGCAGGAGUGGGGAAUUUUGGACAAUGGGGGAAACCCUGAUCCAGCAAUGCCGCGUGUGUGAAGAAGGCCUUCGGGUUGUAAAGCACUUUUGUCCGGAACGAAACGGGCCGAGCUAAUAUCUUGGCCUAAUGACGGUACCGGAAGAAUAAGCACCGGCUAACUACGUGCCAGCCGCCGCGGUAA
rnacentral:rRNA from 1 species